AUUGAACGCUGGCGGCAGGCCUAACACAUGCAAGUCGAACGAGUGGCGGACGGGUGAGUAAUGUCUGGGAAACUGCCCGAUGGAGGGGGAUAACGACUGGAAACGGUAGCUAAUACCGCAUACCAUCGGAUGUGCCCAGAUGGGAUUAGCUAGUAGGUGGGGUAACGGCUCACCUAGGCGACGAUCCCUAGCUGGUCUGAGAGGAUGACCAGCCACACUGGACAUGAGACACGGUCCAGACUCCUACGGGAGGAAGCAGUGGGGAAUAUUGCACAAAGGGCGCAAGCCUGAUGCGGCCCUGCCGGUUGUGUGAAGAAGGCCUUCGGGUUGUAAGGUACUUUCAGCGAGGGGGCGUUACUCGCAGAAGAAGCAUCGGCUAACUCCGUGCCAGCAGCCGCGGUAAUUC
rnacentral:rRNA from 1 species